rnacentral:lncRNA from 1 species
ACAGGUAAUGGGAACAUUACAUCUGGUCUUCUUCAGGAUGAGUCACACACUUUUCCUCUUUUCUAAUUCUGCAGCGACUUGGCACCUCUGUGUGAUGAAAUCCAUAUACUGGCUGUGGUAAAAGGGCUGAGCUAAACACAGAGCAGAUGAAGAGAUACAGGUAUCUUUCCAGGAGCAACUUCAUUAUCUGUGCAUGGGUAUGUACAGCUUGUGGGACCAUAAAAAAACCUCUCAGUGUAAAGGCAAAGAGCUUUCUCCUUCUGGGCAUAGAUGGAGUCAAGAGACUGAAUGAACCAUCCACAUCUUGCUGCAUUGUCUUCCAUUAUCUCUCAGCCUUUACAUCAGAAACACCAGAAGAAAACAUGGUGAAAUGCAGACCCUCCAUGUGCCACAGGCUGCUGGGAAUGACAGGACACAUUCUUCCAGGGCUGCCUGAUGACUGCUCCAGAAGAGCGUGAUGUAAUGAAGCAGACUUCCAUGUGCACACACCAAAGCCUGGCUAGAUGCAUGUGUGCUUGGGAUUAGUAGCUGCCAGCCCUGACCUCUGCCUUCCCUGAUGGAUCAGGAUCCACUGCUCCCUACCGCAGAGGGCCAGCAGAAGACCUCCGUGCAAUGCAAGCUGCAUUUCGGUGCAGUUCUGAGAACUUCUGUGGGAUGUGGGUGGGCAGAAGGUUUUGCUCAGUGGAAACAUUUAAAUUUGAGUUUGGAAACACUUUUACUGGCCAACAAGUUGUUUUCUUUUAAGCUUUCACAGACCGAGGAACAUCGUCACAUAAUUCCAUUAGUGAAUCCAGCAAGUUUUUGUUAAAUUGCAACACCUCUUUCAGGAAGUUAUUAAACAAUGAUUUAGAGACCAAAGAUAUUACAAAUUUACCACUUCCCUUAAUGUCUUUUUCCAAUCCAUAAUUGACUCCAUUUAUUUCCACUUUGAAUUUUAGAUCUAUCUUUUAGCCAUUGAAAGUUAAUGCACUUUGCUGUCAGCUCACAGUCCUAAGACUAAUCACAAAUUUUAACAUGUGUCACAGAUAAAAUAAGUCAAAAAGUAUGAAUAAUAAUCUCUGUAUCUCUUUAAAUGCUAGUAAAAUUGAUUGGUGACCUUCAUGCCUUUCACCCACAGUGAGUAUUUGAGCUGAAGAUAGAAAUGCCAUUUCUUUGAAGGUGGUGGGUCCCUUUAACUUUGGGUUUGCUUGUCUUUCCGCAUUGCACACUGUGAUUAUCCAUCAACAGCAAUGCCAGAGGCUCUUGCAGCUUAGCAGGGGCAGCUGGGGACACGACUUUCAUCUUGUUGAAACAAAUAGGAAUAUCAAAGUUCUUACAACCCUCUGAAACACGGCAGAGACUUUGAGGUGAAUAUUUAGCAACUGGGCUAAAUAUGUGUGGGCAGUGCAAACACAAGCUGCAGCAAACAAGAGCCUUCCAGCCUUUUCUUACAGUUGUCCUACAGAGGACCGAAAGUUG